GACGAACGCUGGCGGCGCGCCUAACACAUGCAAGUCGAACGAGAGAUGAGGAGCUUGCUCUUCAAAUCGAGUGGCGAACGGGUGAGUAACGCGUGAGGAACCUGCCUCAAAGAGGGGGACAACAGUUGGAAACGACUGCUAAUACCGCAUAAGCCCACGGCUCGGCAUCGAGCAGGGGGAAAAGGAGCAAUCCGCUUUGAGAUGGCCUCGCGUCCGAUUAGCUAGUUGGUGAGGUAAUGGCCCACCAAGGCGACGAUCGGUAGCCGGACUGAGAGGUUGAACGGCCACAUUGGGACUGAGACACGGCCCAGACUCCUACGGGAGGCAGCAGUGGGGAAUAUUGCACAAUGGGGGAAACCCUGAUGCAGCGACGCCGCGUGGAGGAAGAAGGUCUUCGGAUUGUAAACUCCUGUUGUUGAGGAAGAUAAUGACGGUACUC
rnacentral:rRNA from 1 species